rnacentral:rRNA from 1 species
GACGAACGCUGGCGGCGUGCUUAACACAUGCAAGUCGAACGGAAAGGCCCUGCUGUUGUGGGGUGCUCGAGUGGCGAACGGGUGAGUAACACGUGAGUAACCUGCCCUUGACGUUGGGAUAACUUCAGGAAACUGGGGCUAAUACCGGAUAGGAGCUCCUGCUGCAUGGUGGGGGUUGGAAAGUUUCGGCGGUUGGGGAUGGACUCGCGGCUUAUCAGCUUGUUGGGGGGGGAGUGGCUUACCAAGGCUUUGACGGGUAGCCGGCCUGAGAGGGUGACCGGCCACAUUGGGACUGAGAUACGGCCCAGACUCCUACGGGAGGAAGCAGUGGGGAAUAUUGAACAAUGGGCGGAAGCCUGAUGAAGAAACGCCGCGUGCGGGAUGACGGCUUUCGGGUUGUAACCCGCUUUCGCCUGUGACGAAGCGUGAGUGACGGUAAUGGGUAAAGAAGCACCGGCUAACUACGUG